rnacentral:lncRNA from 13 species
CUUGGGGAUAAGUAACAGACUAGACUGAAAUCACUGAACAACAAGUCUAAGUUUUAGAUGUAUUAUUUUCAUCCAGUAGGUGGCAGAAAAGUUUAAAGUAGAAAUUCGACUUGAAUGUCUUUUCUCUCCAAGAAAAGGAGUACUCAACAGCCCGAGAGACGGAGGAAAUGAAAGGAAAAGGUAGAAAGAACCGUGUUCUCUUUACUAUGGUUUUACUUUUACAGUCAUUCUCUCACCUCAAGGACGAAAGGAUCAUGUGAGAAAAAUAUAGGCUAAGAUAUAAAGUAACCUUUAAAGAUUUAAAUGAAUAAAAAGUACUAAUAAAAUCGAUGGAACAAUGUAAGGUAACGAUUGACUAAACGCCUUGAUUUGAUUAUUCAUUAAUUAUAUUAUUAUCAAUGUUAUUAUGAUGGGUUUAGUUUAAAUAGCGUUUACUUAGUUUAAGUAAAAAAUUAAAAGGCAGCCUCUAAGAAUAGUCUAAAUCAAGAUGUAUCUUAUUUUGCUUUUCUAUGUUCGAGUUUAAUCAAUAAAAUGCUUAAUUCGUUAAACUGUUUAGUAGGCCUAUUUAUGAGUCGGUGAAUGGACAGGGACAGGCUAUGUUGUGCAACAUGAAACCAAAAGUCACAAUUUUGAAAUAAAUCGUUUUAAAAUACAUAUAAUUAAAAUAGUCUAUUUUUUUUUUAAUGAUAACUGGUAAACUCGGGGAUUCUCAUCAAAUUGCAUAGGCCCACUGUAUUCAGAGGACAAUACUCCACCUCCACAUCAUUAUUAAUGCACAUGGCCCGCCUGCACAUCUACCAGCAGCGGUAGAGCACGAGGGGUGACCAGCCGGCUGCGUCUUUUCUAUAAUGUAUGGUUUGGACAAUGGGUGCGCGUGGACAGAUUUCAACGCAACUUUAGAGGUUGAAAAGGUUUGAAAUCCAAACCGCUCCUCUCUGACGAACUCAGCACUGAUCACCUGAAAGGGGAUGUGAGUCCCGAUCUACAGUUCGAGCGGGACCUUUCAGUGACAGCGCCCCAUUUCGAGCAACGGGAGGGAACAUGGUUAUGGAGGAAGAUUCAUGCCACACCCGAUGGACAGCACAGGUUGUAUAAAAUGUAUCUCUGAGCUGAAAUGGCUUGGAUAAAAAGGAAAGCAUGAAGCUCUUUGCUUGGGCUAAAUAAAAGGUUUUGUGUUGUUUAUAAAUAGAUUGUUUUAAGUAUAGACUAUAGGCCUAUCCUAAAACUGGAAAGGCAAAGAACUUGUGAGUGGAAAACUAGAUUAACACAAACUAAUUAUUUACCUACAUCACAUUUUUUCUAAAGCCUCCACGUCAAUAUGGGGAUGAAGGUGAACGGCCG